UUGUUAGGAUAAUUAGGAUUUGUUUACUGCAUUUGGUGACGUCAUCUCACGAAUCUAUUUAAAGUGGGGUAAGCUUGCCGAACAGGUCAUUUGUCGGUUGGCUUUCGCACAGGACGGUCGUGAGGUGUCGGCGCUAUUUGCUCUUUUAGGUACGUUCCGUGUGAAUUUAAGGAAUGUACAAGGAUUCGCCUUGUCACGAAGCAUAUCUACGAAACUAUGAAAGAUCGGGCGUUCAGUGUGAGGUCCCGGAGGCAAUCCUGGUAGACAUGCAAUAUGGUGUGUGUGGGUGUUUACCCGGCAGACACGCUAUGCGCGUGUGGGCUUUGUCCCGGCAGACACGUUUUACGUGUGGGUGUUUACCCGGCAGACACGCUAUGCGUGUGUGGGCUUUGUCCCGGCAGACACGUUUUACGUGUGGGUGUUUACCCGGCAGACACGCUAUGCGUGUGUGGGCUUUGUCCCGGCAGACACGUUUUACGUGUGGGUCUUUACCCGGCAGACACGCUAUGCGUGUGUGGGCUUUGUCCCGGCAGACACGUUGUUACACGUGUGGACCUCGGUCCGGCAGACAUAUCGUGUGAUAUGUGUAGGAAGUGAUGUAUGAGAGUACGAGUAUAUGAUCAAAUGGAGAUGCGUGCAUGAGAUGCUUAUUAGGUGUGACAGAUGAUUCUUAUUUACUCGUAUGAUUCUAUGACAGAGGGCCUUGGUAGCGUGAAGUAUGAAAUUGUAGGCAACAUUUUACGAAUUACAGCUUAAUAAAGCAAAUAUCUCUUCUUCUAGACGCAGAAGACGAAAACGAUGAUGAUGAGUUCGCAGGACCCUCAUCAGAGCCUGCAGCACCCUCACCUGCCGCUGAUGACACUGAAGACGCCACUCAAGACCCUGCUGAUGAUGUGCCCGAGGACGGCGCACGGUCAGGAGAGGCCGUGUUAGGAUAAUUAGGAUUUGUUUACUGCAUUUGGUGACGUCAUCUCACGAAUCUAUUUAAAGUGGGGUAAGCUUGCCGAACAGGUCAUUUGUCGGUUGGCUUUCGCACAGGACGGUCGUGAGGUGUCGGCGCUAUUUGCUGUGAGUUAUUUCUUUUGUGAUUAUUUAAUGCAUUUGUGAUUAUUAUUUGUGAUUAUUAUUUUUGAUUAACGGUUGUUUGUCAAUCACGAUUCAAUUUGUUAUUUUCUUGUGAUUUUGGUUAUUUAAUAAAAUUGUGUAGACAUAAGAAUAAAUUAGUUGUAUUUUGUGUUA